rnacentral:rRNA from 1 species
GCGACGGUUGUCCCGGUUUAAGCGUGUAGGCUGGUUUUCCAGGCAAAUCCGGAAAAUCAAGGCUGAGGCGUGAUGACGAGGCACUGCGGUGCUGAAGCAACAAAUGCCCUGCUUCCAGGAAAAGCCUCUAAGCAUCAGGUAACAUCAAAUCGUACCCCAAACCGACACAGGUGGUCAGGUAGAGAAUACCAAGGCGCUUGAGAGAACUCGGGUGAAGGAACUAGGCAAAAUGGUGCCGUAACUUCGGGAGAAGGCACGCUGAUAUGUAGGUGAAGUCCCUCGCGGAUGGAGCUGAAAUCAGUCGAAGAUACCAGCUGGCUGCAACUGUUUAUUAAAAACACAGCACUGUGCAAACACGAAAGUGGACGUAUACGGUGUGACGCCUGCCCGGUGCCGGAAGGUUAAUUGAUGGGGUUAGCGCAAGCGAAGCUCUUGAUCGAAGCCCCGGUAAACGGCGGCCGUAACUAUAACGGUCCUAAGGUAGCGAAAUUCCUUGUCGGGUAAGUUCCGACCUGCACGAAUGGCGUAAUGAUGGCCAGGCUGUCUCCACCCGAGACUCAGUGAAAUUGAACUCGCUGUGAAGAUGCAGUGUACCCGCGGCAAGACGGAAAGACCCCGUGAACCUUUACUAUAGCUUGACACUGAACAUUGAGCCUUGAUGUGUAGGAUAGGUGGGAGGCUUUGAAGUGUGGACGCCAGUCUGCAUGGAGCCGACCUUGAAAUACCACCCUUUAAUGUUUGAUGUUCUAACGUUGACCCGUAAUCCGGGUUGCGGACAGUGUCUGGUGGGUAGUUUGACUGGGGCGGUCUCCUCCUAAAGAGUAACGGAGGAGCACGAAGGUUGGCUAAUCCUGGUCGGACAUCAGGAGGUUAGUGCAAUGGCAUAAGCCAGCUUGACUGCGAGCGUGACGGCGCGAGCAGGUGCGAAAGCAGGUCAUAGUGAUCCGGUGGUUCUGAAUGGAAGGGCCAUCGCUCAACGGAUAAAAGGUACUCCGGGGAUAACAGGCUGAUACCGCCCAAGAGUUCAUAUCGACGGCGGUGUUUGGCACCUCGAUGUCGGCUCAUCACAUCCUGGGGCUGAAGUAGGUCCCAAGGGUAUGGCUGUUCGCCAUUUAAAGUGGUACGCGAGCUGGGUUUAGAACGUCGUGAGACAGUUCGGUCCCUAUCUGCCGUGGGCGCUGGAGAACUGAGGGGGGCUGCUCCUAGUACGAGAGGACCGGAGUGGACGCAUCACUGGUGUUCGGGUUGUCAUGCCAAUGGCACUGCCCGGUAGCUAAAUGCGGAAGAGAUAAGUGCUGAAAGCAUCUAAGCACGAAACUUGCCCCGAGAUGAGUUCUCCCUGACUCCUUGAGAGUCCUGAAGGAACGUUGAAGACGACGACGUUGAUAGGCCGGGUGUGUAAGCGCAGCGAUGCGUUGAGCUAACCGGUACUAAUGAACCGUGAGG